GAUGAAGAACGUAGCGAAAUGCGAUACGUAGUGUGAAUUGCAGAAUUCAGUGAAUCAUCGAAUCUUUGAACGCACAUUGCACCUCUCGGUAUUCCGGGAGGUAUGCCUGUUCGAGCGUCAUUUGUACCCUCAAGCUUUGCUUGGUGUUGGGUGUUUGUUCCGCCUCUGUGUGUGAACUCGCCUCAAAACAAUUGGCAGCCGGCGUACUUGUUUCGGAGCGCAGCACAUUUUGCGAUCCAGAUCAACGUACAGCGGCAUCCAAGAAGCCUUAUUUAACGCUCUUGACCUCGGAUCAGGUAGGGAUACCCGCUGAACUUAAGCAUAUCAAUAAGCGGAGGA
rnacentral:misc_RNA from 1 species